GUUUUUUGUUUAUGUCUUUGUUUUGUUCUCUUUGAGUCAGCAAGGAACCAGGGCAGGAAAAAUACAUCUCCUUAAGCAUAUCUGGACUAAGCAUCUAGUAUUGCAGAAAUAGGAGAGGGAACACUUCGGCCUGACUGACCCGAAAGAAGAAGGGAGUCUCCAUGAUUUGGAAGAGACGCCUGAACCGGAGAAGAGCUGCCCCGGAGAAGGGACCUGGAACCCUGGAAGUACGCUGACCAAAUCUCAAAAAACGCUCCAGAGUGGUGAGGAAACGGAGGCAGGGAAUGGCAUACAGUCAAUCAGAUGGACCGGCCAAUCAGGUGAUUCUGCUGCAACCUAGCUGGGCUCAUUACCCAGCCUGAGGGCUGAGCCAGGUCAGAGUCAUUUGAGGGAACUCUGGCCCAUUGUUCCUGAUAGACAUGUGAGGUGAAGCCUGAUGAGAAGCUCAGCCAUGUGAGAAAAUGCAACCCUAUGGCACCCAAACUACAAUUCCCAGGAGGCACCACGGUGGCCCAGGAGGACACAAAUUAAUAUGAACGCAACAUAAAACAUUCAAGCGUUUCCAGUUUGAAAGUUUCCAGAAUUUAUCAUUCCACCAGAAGUUUUGGUAUUUUGAGUUUUAUCCGGAUGCAGGAUGAAAACAAACAUUGGCAUCUUGGAAUUUCCCGCUGGACAGCUCCAUUUUCAUCAGCUCUAUCCAUCCAGUUGUUAUAAUUGUUCAAUAAAAGCAUUUCCCUGAAACCACAGACUCCCUGUUUCCAGGAAAAUAA